CAAUACGGAGCGGCAGACGGGUGAGUAACACGUGGGAACGUACCCUUUGGUUCGGAACAACACAGGGAAACUUGUGCUAAUACCGGAUAAGCCCUUACGGGGAAAGAUUUAUCGCCGAAGGAUCGGCCCGCGUCUGAUUAGCUAGUUGGUGGGGUAAUGGCCCACCAAGGCUACGAUCAGUAGCUGGUCUGAGAGGAUGAUCAGCCACACUGGGACUGAGACACGGCCCAG
rnacentral:rRNA from 1 species